rnacentral:lncRNA from 1 species
GAUAAAAUGAGAAAGAUAAACUGACCUUAAAAGACAAAGGGUGGCGACAGAAAAGAGCACAUCAGAAAGAGUCAAGUUGGCUGCGAUGAUAGUAAUUUAGGAAGAUAAAAAGAUGAAGGUAACAUAAAUAUAUUAUAGGUAGCUAAAGGAAGAAAAAGUUAAAAGGGUGUUGAUAGGAGGCAUAUGGGACAAGCGUCCUACAAGGAUUUAAAAGUAAAGGGUACCUACGUCAUGGGCGGCGUUGAUGGUAGCAGUGUUGAAGUGAUGGCUGAGAUUUAAAUUGGUUUUAGGAAGUGUUAUUAGUUAUGUAAUAUGGAAUUAUUGAAUUAAUAAGAAGCAGUGGUAGUGAUCAUCAGCACACCAGGCGUGCGCUGUGAUAUAGUGGUGGGGUGACUCAUGCUGCCCAUUCAAUAAAUACUAAUCUCUCACCUGCCUCUCAUUCUCACCACAUUCCCAUUACUUAAUUGCUAAACUUUGCCUCCAUUUUCAAUCUAUAUUCAACUAUUCUUAACCUUACUUUCAAACAAAUAUUCUUCUUCAUUUCCAGUCCUCUUCUCAUCAUUCUUUUAAAAU